rnacentral:rRNA from 1 species
GUGUGUGUUAGUGGAAGCGUCUGGAAAGGCGUGCGAUACAGGGUGACAGCCCCGUACACAAAAAUGCACAUACUGUGAGCUCGAUGAGUAGGGCGGGACACGUGGUAUCCUGUCUGAAUAUGGGGGGACCAUCCUCCAAGGCUAAAUACUCCUGACUGACCGAUAGUGAACCAGUACCGUGAGGGAAAGGCGAAAAGAACCCCGGCGAGGGGAGUGAAAAAGAACCUGAAACCGUGUACGUACAAGCAGUGGGAGCACGCUUAGGCGUGUGACUGCGUACCUUUUGUAUAAUGGGUCAGCGACUUAUAUUCUGUAGCAAGGUUAACCGAAUAGGGGAGCCGAAGGGAAACCGAGUCUUAACUGGGCGUUAAGUUGCAGGGUAUAGACCCGAAACCCGGUGAUCUAGCCAUGGGCAGGUUGAAGGUUGGGUAACACUAACUGGAGGACCGAACCGACUAAUGUUGAAAAAUUAGCGGAUGACUUGUGGCUGGGGGUGAAAGGCCAAUCAAACCGGGAGAUAGCUGGUUCUCCCCGAAAGCUAUUUAGGUAGCGCCUCGUGAAUUCAUCUCCGGGGGUAGAGCACUGUUUCGGCAAGGGGGUCAUCCCGACUUACCAACCCGAUGCAAACUGCGAAUACCGGAGAAUGUUAUCACGGGAGACACACGGCGGGUGCUAACGUCCGUCGUGAAGAGGGAAACAACCCAGACCGCCAGCUAAGGUCCCAAAGUCAUGGUUAAGUGGGAAACGAUGUGGGAAGGCCCAGACAGCCAGGAUGUUGGCUUAGAAGCAGCCAUCAUUUAAAGAAAGCGUAAUAGCUCACUGGUCGAGUCGGCCUGCGCGGAAGAUGUAACGGGGCUAAACCAUGCACCGAAGCUGCGGCAGCGACGCUUAUGCGUUGUUGGGUAGGGGAGCGUUCUGUAAGCCUGUGAAGGUGUGCUGUGAGGUAUGCUGGAGGUAUCAGAAGUGCGAAUGCUGACAUAAGUAACGAUAAAGCGGGUGAAAAGCCCGCUCGCCGGAAGACCAAGGGUUCCUGUCCAACGUUAAUCGGGGCAGGGUGAGUCGACCCCUAAGGCGAGGCCGAAAGGCGUAGUCGAUGGGAAACAGGUUAAUAUUCCUGUACUUGGUGUUACUGCGAAGGGGGGACGGAGAAGGCUAUGUUGGCCGGGCGACGGUUGUCCCGGUUUAAGCGUGUAGGCUGGUUUUCCAGGCAAAUCCGGAAAAUCAAGGCCGAGGCGUGAUGACGAGGCACUACGGUGCUGAAGCAACAAAUGCCCUGCUUCCAGGAAAAGCCUCUAAGCAUCAGGUAACAUCAAAUCGUACCCCAAACCGACACAGGUGGUCAGGUAGAGAAUACCAAGGCGCUUGAGAGAACUCGGGUGAAGGAACUAGGCAAAAUGGUGCCGUAACUUCGGGAGAAGGCACGCUGAUACGUAGGUGAAGCGACUUGCUCGUGGAGCUGAAAUCAGUCGAAGAUACCAGCUGGCUGCAACUGUUUAUUAAAAACACAGCACUGUGCAAACACGAAAGUGGACGUAUACGGUGUGACGCCUGCCCGGUGCCGGAAGGUUAAUUGAUGGGGUUAGCGCAAGCGAAGCUCUUGAUCGAAGCCCCGGUAAACGGCGGCCGUAACUAUAACGGUCCUAAGGUAGCGAAAUUCCUUGUCGGGUAAGUUCCGACCUGCACGAAUGGCGUAAUGAUGGCCAGGCUGUCUCCACCCGAGACUCAGUGAAAUUGAACUCGCUGUGAAGAUGCAGUGUACCCGCGGCAAGACGGAAAGACCCCGUGAACCUUUACUAUAGCUUGACACUGAACAUUGAGCCUUGAUGUGUAGGAUAGGUGGGAGGCUUUGAAGUGUGGACGCCAGUCUGCAUGGAGCCGACCUUGAAAUACCACCCUUUAAUGUUUGAUGUUCUAACGUGGACCCGUGAUCCGGGUUGCGGACAGUGUCUGGUGGGUAGUUUGACUGGGGCGGUCUCCUCCUAAAGAGUAACGGAGGAGCACGAAGGUUGGCUAAUCCUGGUCGGACAUCAGGAGGUUAGUGCAAUGGCAUAAGCCAGCUUGACUGCGAGCGUGACGGCGCGAGCAGGUGCGAAAGCAGGUCAUAGUGAUCCGGUGGUUCUGAAUGGAAGGGCCAUCGCUCAACGGAUAAAAGGUACUCCGGGGAUAACAGGCUGAUACCGCCCAAGAGUUCAUAUCGACGGCGGUGUUUGGCACCUCGAUGUCGGCUCAUCACAUCCUGGGGCUGAAGUAGGUCCCAAGGGUAUGGCUGUUCGCCAUUUAAAGUGGUACGCGAGCUGGGUUUAGAACGUCGUGAGACAGUUCGGUCCCUAUCUGCCGUGGGCGCUGGAGAACUGAGGGGGGCUGCUCCUAGUACGAGAGGACCGGAGUGGACGCAUCACUGGUGUUCGGGUUGUCAUGCCAAUGGCACUGCCCGGUAGCUAAAUGCGGAAGAGAUAAGUGCUGAAAGCAUCUAAGCACGAAACUUGCCCCGAGAUGAGUUCUCCCUGACCCUUUAAGGGUCCUGAAGGAACGUUGAAGACGACGACGUUGAUAGGCCGGGUGUGUAAGCGCAGCGAUGCGUUGAGCUAACCGGUACUAAUGAACCGUGAGGCUUAACCUU